rnacentral:lncRNA from 1 species
UAAUGUGUUUCCAAGUUUUACUCUAUAUUUUACAGACUUUUACCUGAACAAUACAUAUUUAAAAUUGUAUAAAAAAUAUAAAAUAACUAUGAACGAAAUAGAAACAGAGUUUAAUAACAUUAGAAAUUUAUUAUUACAAACAAAUAAAGAGGCCUAUAUAAAUUUAAUGCGUUACAGGUAUCCAUGUGCUAAUUUAAAUGAAGAAGAAAAAAAAAAACAUGAAACUGUUAAUGUUACAGUUAUUGACCUUAUAAAUCAUAAUAUUAAUUUUUUUAAAAAACCAUUAUAUAUCAUUUCUACUGAUGACACUGAAGAGUAUAUUAAGUUUUCUCUAGAGUUGUUUGGUGUAAAAAUUAAACAGAAACAGGAUGAACAUUUGUUACGUGUGUAUGGUAAAAAUUAUUUGAAUAACAACCAUAAACAUAAACAUGAUAUACAAAGUGGUAACAUUUUUCAUAAUAUGAUAUCUUUUGUUAGGAUGCGUUAUGGCAAUGACAGUGCCACCCGUAGCUCAAGUAGUAGUAACUUAACUAGCAAUAACAAAGACGACUACCUGUACGAUCCCUAUAACUUAGAUAUAAAUUACCUCAACUACAUUAACAAAAACAAAAAAAACGAUUACCAUUUUGCCAACAACCCAGACUAUUUGAACAUACUACAAAAUAAAUGUAACAUUAUUUCACAUGUGAUUACAGAACACCAUAAACCUAAUACAAGUAUUCAUAUAAUAGACCAUAAAUAUGAUGAUUUAAAUGCUUGUGCCAAUGACAGUAGAUUAAAAAAUAAAACUCGUCUUUACUUUUGUGAAUGGGGGCAUAGUACAUACGAUGAAAAAAUAAAAGCUAUACAACAUGACAAAAUAAAAACAUUUGGUUUUACAUAUAAGUUAUUGUUUUUAUGCUGUACUUACCAAAAUAUGUAUAGGCGACAACACACACAUGGACGAGGAAUACCUUUAGACAUGUAUUCAAAGUUUAUGUUAAAACAUUGUUUAAAGCAGGGGUUGAUACAACCUACCGAUGGUUAUGAUAAUAAUGACGUUACCGCAUGGUAGUAUAUGUAGAACUAGUUCAAACAAAUAAUAAAAAAAAAAAUUGUGUUAAUGCGAAUC